rnacentral:rRNA from 1 species
AUUGAACGCUGGCGGCAUGCUUUACACAUGCAAGUCGAACGGCAGCGCGGGCUUCGGCCUGGCGGCGAGUGGCGAACGGGUGAGUAAUACAUCGGAACGUGCCCAGUAGUGGGGGAUAGCUCGGCGAAAGCCGGAUUAAUACCGCAUACGACCUGAGGGUGAAAGCGGGGGAUCUUCGGACCUCGCGCUAUUGGAGCGGCCGAUGGCAGAUUAGCUAGUUGGUGGGGUAAAGGCCUACCAAGGCGACGAUCUGUAGCUGGUCUGAGAGGACGACCAGCCACACUGGGACUGAGACACGGCCCAGACUCCUACGGGAGGCAGCAGUGGGGAAUUUUGGACAAUGGGCGAAAGCCUGAUCCAGCAAUGCCGCGUGUGUGAUGAAGGCCUUCGGGUUGUAAAGCACUUUUGGCGGGAACUGAAAGGGACUGUGCCAAUACCACGGUUCGAUGGCGGACCCGCAGAAUAAGCACC